UACGUAGGGGGCAAGCGUUAUCCGGAUUUAUUGGGUUUAAAGGGUGCGUAGGCGGAUCGUUAAGUCAGUGGUCAAAUUGAGGGGCUCAACCCCUUCCCGCCAUUGAAACUGGCGCUCUUGAGUGGAAGAGAAGUAUGCGGAACGCGUGGUGUAGCGGUGAAAUGCAUAGAUAUCACGCAGAACCCCGAUUGCGAAGGCAGCAUGCCGGCUUCCGACUGACGCUGAAGCACGAAAGCGUGGGGAUCGAACAGG
rnacentral:rRNA from 1 species